rnacentral:rRNA from 4 species
GGGGGACGGAGAAGGCUAUGUUGGCCGGGCGACGGUUGUCCCGGUUUAAGCGUGUAGGUGUGUGUUCCAGGUAAAUCCGGUUCACUUUAACACUGAGGCGUGAUGACGAGGCACUACGGUGCUGAAGCAACAAAUGCCCUGCUUCCAGGAAAAGCCUCUAAGCAUCAGGUAACAUCAAAUCGUACCCCAAACCGACACAGGUGGUCAGGUAGAGAAUACCAAGGCGCUUGAGAGAACUCGGGUGAAGGAACUAGGCAAAAUGGUGCCGUAACUUCGGGAGAAGGCACGCUGACAC